AUUUAGGACGGAACUCGUUGAUGUAGUCGAGAGAUUGGAAGUUACGUCCGUA
rnacentral:sRNA from 1 species